UACGUAGGUGGCGAGCGUUAUCCGGAAUUAUUGGGCGUAAAGCGCGCGCAGGCGGUUUCUUAAGUCUGAUGUGAAAGCCCACGGCUCAACCGUGGAGGGUCAUUGGAAACUGGGGAACUUGAGUGCAGAAGAGAAAAGCGGAAUUCCACGUGUAGCGGUGAAAUGCGUAGAGAUGUGGAGGAACACCAGUGGCGAAGGCGGCUUUUUGGUCUGUAACUGACGCUGAGGCGCGAAAGCGUGGGGAGCAAACAGG
rnacentral:rRNA from 1 species